CCCAACCACAGGGGGCCAAAAUAGCCUCCUACUUAGACAAGAUCGCCCUGCCCAAACUUACACCCGCUCAGCAGGACAGCCUGUCCGCAUUGAUAACAGAAACGGAGGUGAUGAGAGCGAUUGACUCUCUACCUUCCGAUAAAGCCCCAGGUCCAGACGGGUUCGCCAACUGUUACUACAAGUACUUCCAAAGAACCCUAGCCCCUCACAUUACUAAUGCUUUUAAUGAAGCAGCCACGAAGCACGCACCCCCGCCAGAAGCCCUCAAAGCUCAUAUCAUUACAUUGCCUAAACCGGGCAAGCCACCAAUCCACCCACAAAAUUUUCGACCGAUAUCACUACUGAACACAGACACAAAACUCUUCGCGAAAAUAUACGCCAUCAGACUGGGCACGAUCCUCCCACACCUGAUAAGGAAUGAUCAAGUUGGAUUCGUUAGAGGGAGACAAGGGGGGGACAACACGAGAAAGGUCAUCGAC